GGUUGACCUCGGAUUCCCGGUAGG
rnacentral:rRNA from 1 species